UGACCUCAAAUCAGGUAGGACUACCCGCUGAACUUAAGCAUAUCAAUAAGCGGAGGAAAAGGAACUAACAAGGAUUCCCCUAGUCCCUGCGAGAGAA
rnacentral:rRNA from 1 species